GCUUAACUUGCUGGUUUCUUCCAGAAGUUUUAACUUCUGCCCUCACCUGCAUGUGCCAUCAACUUCUGAGGGCUCUCCUCAAAGCCUCCUCCUUACUUAGCUGUGUGUUUUCAAGCCUGCGAAAUGCUUGCUCCCAGUGGUUAGUGCUCUGUGUGGCUGCCACAGUAGUUGGAUCUAAUUUUAGCCUUUUGGCUGUCCCUCUGGCUUCUUAUCAGGCAUUGUCACAUGUCUCUUCGCUCUCUGAAGUGCAGCCCACCCAUGGUGGAGUUCUCAUUCCUCUGCUGCUGUGGAGAUGCUGAAUUCAAGUACAUGGUGCCCCUUCAGUGGGAGUAUCCAAAACCUGUGCGUUCUCUGAGGACCAGGUUAAGAGCACUUAACUCUGACUUGAAUGUUGGGCCUUAAAUUUCACCUUGAUAUAGGGGUGAUAACACAUCGAAGCGUUAUUUGGACUGGGAUAUUUUGAGUUUGUCUCUAAUACCUUCAGGUUUCUUGAUGUCCUGCAACGUAAGUCGCUGCUAUAGGGCAGCCUGUAAUGUCAUUUGUGGAAAUUCACAUGUGUGGGUCUGGGAUCCUGGUCCACAGGGGCUCUGUAGGGCAGCAGAACUGGCUUGUUCAGCAGCCAUGACUUCACCUUGUUCGAUUGUGUGUCUUCCUGUGUGCCCCAUACCUGUGUGUUAGUGCCCUGUGACUCUGCCUUCUGCUGCAUUUCUGAUAAGCCUACAGUUAGUACCCCAAUGAAGCAUGUUGUUUUCCACCUCUUAGUCUUCUAUCUUCUGCACAAAGGUGUGCGUGUUUCAGCUUUCCAGUUCCCUGGCGCUCUGUUCUGCACUAAGCUACUUGUCCCAGCUGUUUGCUUUCUGUUGCCAAAAUGUGCUUUAUUCUCCUCAGAACUGUGAGGAGUGCUUCCAGUGUUGUAUGAUGUCCAGGUCUGUUUUCUCACCUGUUGGCUUUCUCUGCCUUGAAAAGUUGCCACUGCUUUUUUUUCCUGAAACCGCUGCUAGAGGAGUAGGUGAUAGCAUCAUGCCAUGUAAAUCUCAGUUUGAAGAUUCUCGUGACUAUUUGCAGUUUAUCUGUAGGACACGCUGUCUGCAUAUCAUGGGUUCUCCUCCCUCUGGGAGACCGCAGCAAGCAAUGGAAGGAAGAUGUACUUGUGAAGAUGAGUCACCGAAAGCUUCCUAAGCAAAGAAGUCAACUACGUCGUGUCCAGUAACAAAGAGGCCAAACGAGACAAAGCUGGGACUAGGACUGAGAAAAGGAGCAACACAACGUCAGCGGAUGCAAAAGCCAAGAGCCCGAUGCCUUCUACCUCCAAGGGGAAUCAUACCAGACUUCAGCAGAAGCCACCAGACACAGUAAGAGCUACCAAGGUUUAGGCUACCCCAAAGUUUGUCCCAGGGGAUCUAUAGAGUAAAACCUGGGACCAGUGUUCAAGGUAGUUGUUUCUGCUCUGAGCAACCGUGUUGUGUGUGUUUUGUUGUUUUUUUUUUCUGCUCAGCCUAAUCAUUCAUAUUUAUACCAAUGUUCUUUAUGGUAUGAAUUCAUAUCUAUACCGAUGUUCAAUGAUGCCUUUGCAUCAUUGUCUGCUCUAAUGUGCAUGUCACAGCUUUAAUAGUAAACAAAGGAUAUCUACUCAAAUGGUAGAGGAAAUAGAGGGCUUGGUUAGCUUCCCAACAGAACAGGUAAUCCAUCGAGACACAGAGGUGUAUUUAGAAAGCACAGAAAUGUAGGCGAGAUAAAUCUGCAUCAGAAGUAUUGCAGGCUGUGGCUGUGUGUGGACAGACAUGGGUAGGGCACAGCAAUUGCUGUGUGGGAGGAGAGCUGCAAGGGCA
rnacentral:lncRNA from 1 species